UGGGGAAUAUUGCACAAUGGGGGAAACCCUGAUGCAGCGAUGCCGCGUGGAGGAAGAAGGUUUUCGGAUUGUAAACUCCUUUUAUCAGGGACGAUAAUGACGGUACCUGAAGAAAAAGCUCCGGCUAACUACGUGCCAGCAGCCGCGGUAAUACGUAGGGAGCGAGCGUCGUCCGGAAUUACUGGGAGUAAAGGGAGCGUAGGCGGGACGGCAAGUCAGAUGUGAAAACUGAGGGCUCAACCUUCAGACUGCAUUUGAAACUGCUGUUCUUGAGUGAAGUAGAGGUAAGCGGAAUUCCUAGUGUAGCGGUGAAAUGCGUAGAUAUUAGGAGGAACAUCGGUGGCGAAGGCGGCUUACUGGGCUUUUACUGACGCUGAGGCUCGAAAGCGUGGGGAGCAAA
rnacentral:rRNA from 1 species